rnacentral:rRNA from 1 species
UACGUAGGGCGCAAGCGUUGUCCGGAAUUAUUGGGCGUAAAGAGCUCGUAGGCGGUUUGUCGCGUCUGCCGUGAAAGUCCGGGGCUCAACCCCGGGCCUGCAGCCGAUACGGGCAGACUAGAGUUCGGCAGGGGAGACUGGAAUUCCUGGUGUAGCGGUGAAAUGCGCAGAUAUCAGGAAGAACACCAAUGGCGAAAGCAGCUCUCUGGGACGUCCUUGACGCUGAGGCGCGAAAGCUGGGGGAGCGAACGGG